CGCGUAGGCGGCAUGACAAGUCAGAUGUGAAAGCCCCGGGCUCAACUCGGGAAUUGCAUCUGAAACUGUUUUGCUUGAGUUCUGGAGGGGGUAGUGGAAUUCCCAGUGUAGCGGUGAAAUGCGUAGAUAUUGGGAGGAACACCUGCGGCGAAGGCGGCUACCUGGACAGUGACUGACGCUGAGGCGCGAAAGCUAGGGGAGCGAACGGGAUUAGAUACCCCGGUAGUCCUAGCCGUAAACGAUGGGCACUUGGUGUUGGGGGUAUUGAGUCCCUCGGUGCCGGAGUUAACGCGUUAAGUGCCCCGCCUGGGGAGUACGGUCGCAAGACUGAA
rnacentral:rRNA from 1 species